UUGGAGGAAUGUAUAGCGAUAGCUAAUUGCAUCGAAAAUAUGAUGCAAGAUCGAUUUAUUGAAUAAAAUUCUGGGUAGAAUUAUGAUUAUGACAUUGUCUACCCAUGUGUCUUGACCAAAUUACGUGCCAGCAGUCGCGGUAAUACGUAGAAGACUAGUGUUAUUCAUCUUUAAUAGGUUUAAAGGGUACCUAGACGGUAAAUCAAGCCCUAGACGGGACUAAUUUGCUAGAGUUACUUGUGAGGGGGUUUUAAAGUACUAAUGGUGUAGAGAUGAAAUUUUGUAAUACCAUUUUUCGAAAGGAAAGUAAUGGCACAGGUAUAGGCGAAAGCAUCCCCUUAUGUGAUAACUGACGUUGAAGGACGAAGGCUUUGAGUCGCGAACAGGAUUAGAUACCCUGGUAGUCAAAGCAGAAAAUAAUGAGUGUCAUAGAUUAGAUAUUAAAGUUUAUUCUAUAAAUGAAAGUGUAAGCACUCCACCUCAAGAGUAAUUUGGCAACAUUGGAACUGAAAUCAUUAGACCGUUUCUGAAACCAGUAGUGAAGUAUGUUGUUUAAUUUGAUAAUCCGCAAAAAACCUUACCACAAUUUGAAUAUUUAUAUCGUUGAUAUAAUUACAAGCGUUGCACGGCUGUCUUCAGUUAAUGUCGUGAGAUUUUGGUUAGAUCCAUUAAAUUAACGCAAGCCCUUACUUUAUUUUAAAAUAAAGUCGUUCCCCACUAGAUUGGAUAAGAUAACAGGGAUUAAGACAAGUCAUCAUGGCCUGAAUAUUGUGGGC
rnacentral:rRNA from 1 species